rnacentral:rRNA from 1 species
AACCUGCAGUCGAACGGUACACGUGGAACCUGCUGACGAGUGGCGAACGGGUGCCCUUUAAAUCGGAACGUGCCCAGUAGUGGGGGAUAGCUCGGCCAAAGCCGGAUUAAUACCGCAUACGCCCUAUGGGUGAAAGUGGGGGAUCGCAAGACCUCACGCUAUUGGAGCGGCCGAUAUCUGAUUAGCUAGUUGGUGGGGUAAAAGCCUACCAAGGCGACGAUCUGUAGCUGGUCUGAGAGGACGAUCAGCCACACUGGGACUGAGACACGGCCCAGACUCCUACGGGAGGCAGCAGUGGGGAAUUUUGGACAAUGGGCACAACCCUGAUCCAGCCAUGCCGCGUGCGCGAAGAAGGCCUUCGGGUUGUAAACCGCUUUUGUCAGGGAAGAAAUCUUCUGAGCUAAUACCUCAGGAGGAUGACGGUACCUGAAGAAUAAGCACCGGCUAACUACGUGCCAGCAGCCACGGUAAUACGUAGGGUGCAAGCGUUAAUCGGAAUUACUGGGCGUAAAGCGUGCGCAGGCGGUUUUGUAAGACAGGUGUGAAAUCCCCGGGCUUACCUGGGAAUUGCAUUUGUGACUGCACGACUAGAGUGUGUCAGAGGGGGAUGGAAUUCCGCGUGUAGCAGUGAAAUGCGUAGAUAUGUGGAGGAACACCAAUGGCGAAGGCAAUCCUCUGGGAUACUACUGACGCUCAUGCACAAAGCGUGUGGAGCACACAGGAUUAGAUACCCUGGUAUCCACGCCCUAACAUGUCACUCGAUGUUGGGAGCUGCUCUUCGUAACGUAUCAACGCGUGAGUUGACGCCUGGGAGUACGCUGCAGGUUGAACUCAAGGAAUGACGGGACCGCACAGCGGUGGAGAUGUGGUUAAUCUAUGCACGCGAAAACCUUUCUACCC